UCGGCAUUAUAUCACAUUGAAAUGUUGAUAUUGAUAGAAUUUCACAAUGACAUGUUGUCAUGGUUAGUAUUGCAUAGUGACCAGAAGGAGGUGACAACAUUUAUUGGACAGUACACUAUUCCAUAUUGCAAUAUUGCCGUGGACAGUAAUUCAUUAUGAAAUAGUGUUCACAGAUUAUUCUUUUGUUAAUAUUAAGUCCGACUGAAAAAAAAUCAUGAACAUUAAUUUAUGUUAAAUAUGCAUCUUGCGUGAACUGUAAAUAUAAGGCGCUUUUAUGCUUCUGGUGCGCCUCAGAAUGUUAAAGGGCUAGUUGAAAAGAACAUAAUAUGUAGUUGAAAACAGGGUUUUACAUCUAUUAUUGAACACUACAAUAUCCUGAAUAUUAUAUUAACAUAGGGUAAACACAAAU
rnacentral:lncRNA from 1 species